GACGAACGCUGGCGGCGUGCUUAACACAUGCAAGUCGAACGGAAAGGCCCUGCUUUUGCGGGGUGCUCGAGUGGCGAACGGGUGAGUAACACGUGAGUAACCUGCCCUUGACUUUGGGAUAACUUCAGGAAACUGGGGCUAAUACCGGAUAGGAGCUCCUGCUGCAUGGUGGGGGUUGGAAAGUUUCGGCGGUUGGGGAUGGACUCGCGGCUUAUCAGCUUGUUGGUGGGGUAGUGGCUUACCAAGGCUUUGACGGGUAGCCGGCCUGAGAGGGUGACCGGCCACAUUGGGACUGAGAUACGGCCCAGACUCCUACGGGAGGCAGCAGUGGGGAAUAUUGCACAAUGGGCGGAAGCCUGAUGCAGCAACGCCGCGUGCGGGAUGACGGCCUUCGGGUUGUAAACCGCUUUCGCCUGUGACGAAGCGUGGGUGACGGUAAUGGGUAAAGAAGCACCGGCUAACUACGUG
rnacentral:rRNA from 1 species